GGGCCUGUGGUCUUACGGUAUGACGCUGCCAUGGCAUGGCAGAGGCUCCGCGUUCGAUUCGCGGCAGGUCCA
rnacentral:tRNA from 1 species